CGCUGGAGCUGGGUCAGUCCGCCGCUCACCCCGCGGCCGCACCUUCCCGCCUUCUCAGGUAACUAAGUGCGGGUCUCGGGCCUGGCAGAAGCUUCUUCGGCCCCGUGCCCUCGCCUGGCCCCGCCCCGUCGGUUGUGUGCUUGUCUCGUCCUGCCCCCAGGCCCUGCCGGUCCCCACCGUUAGGCCGGCGUCCCUGCCCGGCCCCGCUGCGGGCUGGCGCCAGCUCAGGAGGACGCCCCGAAGCCGAGGCCUCGGAAGCAGGUUUUUCCCAGACCUUCUCCUGUCCCGCGUUCCCCCUAGGCCGGCCGUAGGGACCAGACCCCACCCUAAGCCCAUAGCCGGCCUUCGCGCUCCGGGUGACCCUGGCUGGCCCUGUUUGUCUGUGGGUCCUGGGAUGCGCCACUCCCGGCAGGAAGGGGCGCCGCCGAGGCCCGGUCUCAGCCUGGAACCCCGCUCCUGCCGUCGGGGCGCUUUCUGCGGCUGCCCACACACGACCCCAGGCAAGGGGUGGGGGCGCGGGACCCUCCAUGACAUGGCGGCGGGGCGCUCUCACUUCUUUGAAACCAGCGUAAACUGGACCCGCCCCACCUCCCAUACCUUGGGGGAGCCCCGGGAAAGGCUGUGGCCUGGGGGUCUGCAGGGCGUUGGCAGUGGAGGUGGGGAGAGACCCCAGCCCUUUCCUGUCCCCCCCACCAGCCUUGCCUUCCUCGCCGUGAGCCGGGGACAGUGGAGGGGAGUCAGGGAGGGCCCACCAGAUGGACUUUCUUGUGACUCAUCCUAUAAAGCCCCUCGGGCUUAGCCACCCUCCCCAGGACCCGUGUGGUCUCCCGGACUGUGCUGGAAGCUUAGAGCCAGAAUGACUUUUCCACCCUCGGGCUGGCUGGCUCAGUGGGCAGCAGGGACAGGGGGCUGUGAAGAGAAAACUCACUCGCCAGGGUCAGGGGCCGCUUGCUCACUGAGGAAAGCAGAGGGGUUCCUGCCGCUUGCCUCAGGAACAAAGCUAGUUGGUGAGGCACUGCCUUGCAGUUGUAGGAGAGGAAUAAUGGCCCCCGUGGGUGCUUGGUUGGAACGAUUAAAGGAGAAUAACAGUUUAGCACGAUUAUUUCACACAGUUGUUCAAAGAGAUGGCUUUGAAUUCCAGCUUACAUGGCGUCUUCAACAAAAAGUAAUUGUUUAGAGAAGUGACAAGAUGAAGGAGGACUCUGAGUCCUAGUCUCCCUCCUCGAGUCCCUGUGUGAGCAGAGGUAAACAAUGAAAACUCACCAACCAGGAGAAAUUCACCUAGGACUGGCGCAGAAGGUAUACACCAUGAGCCUGGAAAUGAUUUAAAAAACAACACAGGCUGGGCGCGGUGGCUCACACCUAUAAUCCCAGCACUUUGGGAGGCAGAGGCGGGCGGAUCACUUGAGGUUUGCGAGUUGGAAACCAGUCUGACCAACGUGGAGAAACCCCGUCUUUACUAAAAAUACAAAAUUAGCCAGGUGUGGUGGCGCAUGUCUGUAAUCCCAGCUACUGGGGAAGCUGAGGCAGGAGAAUCCCUUGAACCUGAGAGAUGGAGGUUGAUGUGAGCUGAGAUCACACAAUUGCAGUCCAGCCUGGGCAGCAAGAGUGAAACUCCAUCUCAAAAAAACAAAAAAAACAACCCACAACUGUGGGCCAAAGGGACACAGCGACAAGGGGUCCCAAUGGGCGAGGCUGGAAUAACUUGAAUAGCAGAAUAAAGUAGCAUUGGAUUAUAAUGCACAGGGCUGAAGAAAUAUCGAUGAGUCUUUGCUGAUGUAAUAAGUGACUGAAUGAGCUGGGCAGAGUGGGACCUGUAGUUCAGCUACUCAGAGGCUGAGGUGGGAGCAUCAGUUGAGCCCAGGAGUCAAGGCCUAGUAAUAUCCCAUUUCCAAAAUAAAAGACUGAAUUAAUAAAUAGAUGGGAGAGAGGAGACAAUUGACCAUGCAGGAGGAGUCCAAAUAUUUGUUCUUUGAGGCAGGAUCUUCCUCUGUCAUUCAGAAGGCUGGAGUGCAAUGGUGCGCUGUUGCCUUGCUGCAGCCUGGACCUCCUGGGCUCAGGCAGUUGUCCCACCUCAGCCUCCCAAGUAGCUGGGACCAGAGGCAUGCACAUCCAGCCGAGUCCAAAUAGUGUAUGCAGAUAUGCCCUCACAGAGGUGACCUGAACUUUCUGAGUUGUGAGUGAGCUUCACCUGGGGACCUCCUUUUAGGUAGCAGGGAAAAAGAGGAGGGUGAGCCACACCCAGGCACCUCCUUCCAGAGAGCAUGUGCCUCAGCCUCCAGAGUAGCUGGGAUUGCAGACAUGUGCCACCAGCCCGACUAAUUUUUGUAUUUUUAGUCGAUACGGGGGGGUCUCACUAUGUUGCCCAGGCUGGUCUUGAACUCCUGGGUUCAGGUGAUCUUCCCACUUCAGCCUCCCAAAGUGCUGGGAUUACAGGUGAGAUAAAACUUCCUUAUUCACAGACUACAUGAUUGUCUAUAUAGAGAACACUCAUCUAAAGCAACAGCAAUGAUUGCCACAAAGACCCUCGUAGAGCCAGUAAGUGAGUUUGGAAUGUUCACCAGUAACACAUACAAAUUAAUCUUAGGGCUGCGUGCAGUGGCUCAUGCCUGUAAUCCCAGCACUUUGGGAGGCUGAGGCCGAGGCUGGUGGAUGGCCUAAGGUCAGGAGUUUGAGACCAGCUGACCAACAUGGUGAAACCCUGUGUCUACUAAAAAUAGGAAAACUAUCCAGGCAUGGUGGCGGGCACUGUAAUCCCAGCUACUCAGGAGGCUGAGGCAGGAGAAUCGCUUGAAUCCGGGAAGCAGAGGCUGCAGUGAGCCGAGAUCGCACCAUUGCACUCCAGCCUGAGCAACAAGAGUGGAACUCUGUCUCAAAAAAAAUAAAAGACCCGGUGUGGUGGCUCAUGCCUGUAAUCCCAACGCUCUUUGGGAGGCUGAGGCAGGCGUAUCACCAGGUCAGGAGUUGGAGAUCAGCCUGACCAACAUGGUGAAACCCUGUCUCUACUAAAAAUACAAAAAUUAGCCGGGUGUGGUGGCACACACCUGUAAUCGCAGCUACUCAGGAGGCUGAGACAGGAGAAUUGCUUGAACCUGGGAGGCAGAGGUUGCAGUGAGCUGAGAUCAUGCCACAUUUGAACCCGUGAGGCAGACGUUGCAGUGAGCCGAGAUCAUGUCACUGCACUCCAGCCUGGGCAACAGAGCCAGACUGUCUCAAAAAAAAAAAAAAAAUCUUACUUCUAUAGACAAUAAAACAUUGGAAACUGAAGUUAAAAACACAGUAGCUCCUGAGAGAGAGAGAGAGGUAUAAAUCUAACAAGACAAAACAGGAUCUGUAUGCUAAAAAGACUAUGUAUGUGGAGAGACGGCACACAGCACGCUCAUAGACUGGAAGACUGAACAUAAGAUGCCAGUCUCAGAAGGAUCUGUGAAAUUAACAAAAUUCCAAAACAUUGCAGUAGGACUCUUUUUAGAUUUAGAAAAGAUGAUUUUAAAAUGUAUACAGAAUGGUGAAGGAGCUAGCUAAAACAGUAAAAAGGAUAGAUAAAACAAUGUUUUAAAAAGAACAAAAAAGUUAGAUGAAUCACAUUACACAGUUUUAACAGACUUUAAAGCCACAAAAAUCAAGACUGUCGUAUUGGCAAAGAACAGACAGAUGGGUCAGUGAUCAGAGAGUCUAGAAACAGACCCACAUAAAUAGGGCCAUUUGAUCUUUGACAGCAGUGCAAACAAAAGCAACCCUGUGGAGAAAGGAUUGUCCAUUCAACAGAGCAGUGGGGCAGUUGGUCAUCCAUAUGGUAGAAAUGGAACCUUGGCCUAAACCUCACAUUGUACACAAUUAACUCCAAUCAUAUGUAAACGUAAAACAAAACUAUAAAAUGUUUGGAAGAAAACAGAAAAAUACCUUUGUACCUGAUGACAUUUGGUAGAGUUCUUAGACAUGAUCCCAAAGGCAUAAUCCACAGAAGAAUCCAUAAAAGAAAAAUUUGUAAAUUGGACUUUAUCAAAAUUAAAAACUUACUUUUUUGAGAUAGGGUCAUGCUGUGUUGUCCAGGCUGGAGUGUGGUGGUAAGUCAUAGUUCACUGCAGCCUCGACCUCCCGGGCUCAAGCCAUCUUCCUUCCUCAGCCUCCUGAGUAGCUGGGACUAGAGGUGCAAGCCACUAUUCCUGGUUUUAAAAAUUUUUUCCAGAGUCUGAGUCUUGCUGUAUUGCCCAGGCUGGUCUCAAAUUCCUAGCCUUAAGUGAUCCUUCCACCUUCGGCCCCAAAGUAGUUGAGAUUACAGGCAUGAGCCACCGUGCCUGACCUAAAAACGUUUGAACUACCAAAGACAGUGUGAAAAGAAUGAAAAGAUGAGGAGAAAAUAUUCACAAAUCACCUGUCAACUAAGGACCUGUAUUUGGAAUACACAGAGAACUCUUAAAACUCAACAGUAAGAAAACAGUCCAACUAAAAAGUGGAAAAGACCUGAUCAGACAUGCACCAGCAAUGACACAGCAUUGACUGUUGGGCACAGGAGAAGAGGCUUGACACCACCAGCCACCAGGAAAUGCAGAUUCAGCCACCACGCAGGACACGAGGCACCUGCACCACAGCCGCAGUGCAAGAGAAUGCUGGUGGUGCCCCAAGCUGCCAGGGUGUGGACCUGCUGGAAAUGGAAGACGGCAUGGUGGUUUCCUAUAAAGUUCAAUGUACACAGCCACAUGACCCAGCAAUCCCACUGUUGGGUAUUUAGAGAAUGAAAAACUUAAGUCCACAUAAAAACUGUACGUAAAUGUUUACUGAUGCCUUAUUCAUAAUCAUCAAAAGCUGAAAUUCAAAUGCCUUUCAUUGGGUGAACUGGUAAACUGUGGUAUAUCUAUGCAGUGAAAUACUCCUCUGCAGUGACAAUGGGGAGAGACUGACACAUUGGGCACCAUGGGGGUGGGAAGAGGUGAAGGAAGGUUGGGGGAAGGCGCCGUGGUCAGGUGUGGCACUAAGGAGAUUUGGGGGUGGAGCCAUUCUGUGUGUGGACUGUGGUGGUGGUCGCGUGACUGUACAUGUGUUAAAGCUUCAAACAAAAAAGUUAAAAAUUUUAGUUUAAAAUAUUAAAACAUUUUUAAAAAUGG
rnacentral:lncRNA from 1 species